rnacentral:sRNA from 1 species
AUCAUCAGCAAGCGGGUCCUCCUCCUCCCAAACCCCUUGCGGCGACCACCGGCGCUCCUCCUCCCAAGCCGAUGGUCAUGAUCGAGAAGCCCGACGCACCUCCUCCCGCGUCGGGCUUUUUCG